rnacentral:lncRNA from 1 species
AUGGAGUGCAACUCUCUCUUAUUGGAUGUUCAAUUCAAAGGGCGAAUCCUCCAUCAGUCAUUUUGGCAUUAUUUCCAAAUGGCGUGACUUCCCCGUUCGUUCCAUCUAGAGCUGUCAAAAUGGAUCACAACCCGCGAGCCAAUCCGGCCCGUCACGGGUUUGGACCGGGUUGGGUUUGAAAAAUACAACCCACUUAUAUGCGGGUCAAAUUUCAACCCGGCUCAUUUAGACCCGGCUCAUGCGGGUUGAACCCGUGGUGAGCCGGGUUGGCCCACCAACCCA